rnacentral:tRNA from 1 species
GCCGGGGUGGUGAAAUCGGUAUACACAGGGGACUUAAAAUCCCCCGGGCUUUACGCCCUUGCGGGUUCGACUCCCGCCCCCGGCA